GGGAGAGGGAACGGAGCAGCGGGAUCGGGAUCGGCAGCGGGAUCGGGAUCGGGGACCCCCGGCCCGGCUGCGGACCCCGGAGCGGCUCCAGGACAGCCCUGCGGAUCCGGGGACAUUCCCUGGGAUCGGGGACACCUCCCGGGAAUCCGUGACCCCGGGGCGGUGACCUCGGUGCCCCUUCCCCCGGAAAGAGCCCGGACCUUCCUCCCCGGCCGCUUCCUCUUCCUGGGCACGGAACCCUUGGGCCGCCGCUCCUGGGACUGCCGGAAUUCCUGGGACACCCCUGGGACACCCCUGGGACACCCCUGGGACACCCGGGCGAGCCGAGGUGGCCCCUUGGCUCCCCGCUUGCCGGGGCCCAUGUUGUGUUUGCCGUUCAGGAGGAAGGGGCGGAACGGGGAUCCCCCCGAAGCCGCGGAUCCCGGGAUGUUCCACGAGCCCCGCGCUCCCGAGGACUCGCCGGGAGCCGCCGGGCCCUGGCAGCCGGAUCCGGAGGAGUUUUCCACGUUCUGCCGCCACCGGAGGCCCGGGAAGGGCUGGGGGCUGCCCUGGGCCGGGCUGCAGAGCCAGGACGGGAUCCGGCCUUCCCGAGGAGCCGGGGAGAGCUGGAGGGACACCGGGAUGCCGGGAGAGGCGGGAGAUGCGCCCGGGUGUGCCCAGGCGGACGGGAGAGAGCAGCAGGAGUCCAGCAGGAACAACUGAAAGUGGGGAACAGCCCCAGCGGGAUCCGACACCUCGGGAAGGACGUUCGGGAUGAGCCGCGUGUCCCACGCACGGCCCAGAACGGGAAUGUGCCCAGGGAAGGGACGGAUCAGCCUCAGCCCCCGCGCCAGGAGGAGGAGGGAGAGUCCAGCGGCUCUUCCCAGAGCCCGGGAUCGGGCGCGGAGGGGGACGCGGGCGCUGCCACCGGCCCUGGAGGGGACGGGGGACGGACGGGAGCCGGAGCGUCCGUUGGGAGCGGAGCUGAGGCGGCGUCUCCGGGAAAGGCUGUGCCAGCUGGGACAGGACACGGAAAGCUCGGACGGGAAAUCCACGGCAGCGCUGGCGGCCCAGCUGGCGGAGAAGAUCCUGAGCACGCCCACCGAGAUGUAUCCCUCGGAGCCGGGAAUGUGGAGCGUCCGUUGGGAGCAGGGAUCCGGAGCCGGCCGGGACCUCGAGCUCGGCGUUCCCGUGUCCGUGCGUGGGAGCGCGCCCGGGAAUGACGGGAUCGUCAUCGGGAUGCUGCAGCUCUGCAGGAAUGCGGAGAGCAGCCAGGAGGAGGAGGAGGAGGGAGAAGUUUUCCUCUCGCGGAUCUACUGGCUCCAGGAUUCCUCGGGCCUGGCACAGGAAUUCCCGGAGGUGUGGGCGCGCUCCCCGCCUGGACUGCGGCCGGCUGGCCGAGGAGGAGUGGCUGGACGGGGCCCCCGUGGGCUUCCAAGAGCAGCGCCCGAAGCCACCCGACGUGGAAGAGCGGAUGGCGGAAUUGCUGCGGGAAUACCUGGAGCAGGGAAUCGUGGUGGAGGGCAGCUCCGCCUCCAACAACCCCUUGAUCCUCAUCCCAAAGCGCAACGGGACGGGCUGGCGCCUGACCCUGGACUGCCGAGCCCUCAACGAGGCCACUCCCGUGGAGCCCCCGGAGCGGCCGGACAGGGCCUGGCUCCUGGCGUCCGUCAACCCGCGGAGCCGCUUCUUCUCCGUGCUGGAUUUAUCCAACGCCUGCCUCGCCAUUCCCUUGGCCCGCAGCUCCUGGCCCAGGUUCGCCUUCACCUUCCAGGGCCGGCAGUUCCUGUUCACGCGGCUGCCGCCAACGUUCCACGGCACCAACUCCAUCCUGCACCGGCGCGUGUGCGCCGUGCUGGCCCAGCUGGAGCCCGGCGCCGCUCCCGGCGUUUUCCAUUACAACGACGACAUCCUGGUGACCGGGAAGAGCUGGCGGCAGGCGGCGUACCGCACCCGGAGAGUGCUGGAGCUCAUCCGGAGCGCCGGCUUCAAAGCCAACCCGCACAAGGCGCAGCUGGUGCGGCGCGAGGUGAAUUUCCUGGGAGUAACCAUCGGAGCCGCGGGGCAGCGCGUUCCCGAGGAAAAGGUGGAGAAGAUCCGCGCGGACUGCGACGCCCUCCGCUCCUGCAGCGCCGGCACGCUCCGCUCCAUCCUCGGGAAGUUCGGGAGCUGGCGCUGUUUCAUUCCCGACUACUGGGAGCUGGCGCUGCCGCUGCAGCGCCUGGCGGAGCAGGGAGACGGGGAAUGGGAAUGGGGCUGGAGGCAGCAGCUGCGGCAGCUGAUGGAGGCCCUGGAGGCCGCGCCCGUCCUGCGCUUCCCGGAUAAAUCCCGGCCCUUCCUCAUCCGGCUCUCGCCGCACGAGGAGACGGCGGGAGCGGCGCUGCUGCAGGAAAAGGCGGGGAUUCUGCUCCCGGUGGGACACUGCUCCCGCAUCCUGAGCAGGUGGAAUUUCUCCGAUGUGGAGAUGGGAUGCGUGGCGGCCGUCCAGGCCGUGCAAGACUUCGAGGACUUCACGGGGCCGGCUCCCAUCGUGAUCUCGGAUUCCAUGUGGAAUUACCUCGUCCGGGGCGAGGCGCUGGGCUCUGGCGGCUCCGGGCUCCCGGAGCAAUGGACGCUGCUCCUGACAUCCAGAGGGCCGGACAAGCGGGAAUCCCAAAGGAUCGCCAUCGUGCCGGCUCCCGAGCUCCAGUAUCUGCUUUCCGACGUUCCUGAAGCCGACGUGUGGUUCCUGGCCGUGGAAUCGCGGGGAUCGUCCGUCGGCUUCGCCGCCGUCAGCCUGGAGGAGCGGUGGCUGCUGGGGGGCUGCCGGGGCGCGUGGGGGGCGGCGGCGAUGGAGCUGGAGGCGCUGCGGGAGCUCCUGGAGCAGCACCGCAGCUCGGGCCCGCUCUUCCUCUACUCCAGCUGCCCGGCCCUGGCGGCGCGGCUGGAAAGGCGGGAGAGGGAGCCGGGCUGGAAUCCCGCCGGGAACGCCUGGCCCCGCGUCCUGCGCUGGCUCCGCGCCUUCCCGGGGAUGCUCAGGGUGGGGGAGCCGGGAAGGGCCGGCAGCGCGGAGCGGGCUUGGAUCACGCGGGCGAGUGCCAGGGCCAGGGCGGUGGCCGGGAGCGGCCGGAAAAUCUGGGAACCGUCCAAGUACGAGCGGCAGGAAAUCGUCGCGCGGUGCCACCGCCGGCACGAGGGCGUGGACGGGACCCUGGCCAGGGUGCGGGCGGUGGCGUCCUGGGAAGGCGACGGCCGCGACGUGGCCCGCUGGGUGCGGAGCUGCCCCACGUGCCGCCAUCCCGACGCCGAUCCCGAUCCCGGCCCGCAGCGGGCGGAGGGCCCCUGGUCCUGCCUCUGGAUCAGCCUCUCCAAGCCCCUUCCCCGGAGCGCCGAGGGCUUCUGCGCGCUCCUGGUGGUGCAGGACGCGCUCUCGGGCUGGGUGGACGCCUUCCCGCUGCGGCGGCGCGCGGAGCCGGACGUCGCCCAGACGCUCCUCCGGGAAGUUUUCGGGAAUUUCGGCACGGUCGCCUCGGUGCUGCUGGCGCCGGCGCCCGCCUGGAUGUGGAAUUCCAUGAGCCGGGCCCCGCUCCGGGGUUUCUGGAGCCGCCUGGAGCGCUCGUGCCCGCACGAGGCCGCCGAGCGCCUGUGGAGGGUGGCGCAGGCGGCCGGGAAGGGCUGGGCCGGGAUGCUCCCGCUGAUCCUGGCGGGAAUCCGAUCCUACCACGUCAGGAGAGACGGGCUGGGCCCUCUGCUCUGCGUUCCCGGCCUGCCCCUGGAAUCGCGCUGGAAAGGCCCCGCAGAGGAGGAAGCCGACACCGGGAAUGAGACCAGGAACGCCGGGAACAACGCCGGGAACGAGGCCGGGAACAACGCCUGGAACGAGCUCUCCUGGCUGCGCAGGACGCGGCUCCUGCCGGGCUACCGGGAGCACGUGGAGGCCGCGCUCUGCCAGGAUCCCGGCUCGGGGCUGGGGGGACGGUGGUUAGGCUGGACUGGGGGGGGUUUAGACGGGACUGGAAGAGGUUUUAGGGAUGGGAGAGGUUUUAGGGAUGGGAGAGGUUUUAGGCAGGACUGGGAGAUGUUUUAGGGAUGGGAGAGGUUUUAGGGAUGGGAGAGGUUUUAGGCGGGACUGGGAGACGCUUUAGGUGGGACUGGGAGAGGUUUUAGGGAUGGGACUGGGAGAGGUUUUAGGGAUGGGAGAGGUUUUAGGGAUGGGAGAGGUUUUAGGGAUGGGAGAGGUUUUAGGCGGGACUGGGAGAGGUUUUAGGGAUAGGAGAGGUUUUAGGGAUAGGAGAGGUUUUAGGCGGGACUGGGAGAGGUUUCAGGGAUGGGAUAGCUUUUAACUGGGACUGGGAGAGCUUUUAGGCCUGGUGAAGGUUUUAGGCUGGACUGAGGCUCUUAGGGGGGGCUGGGGGGCUUUUGGGCCGCACUGAGCAGAGUUUUAGGCCUGGGAGAGCGUUUAGGCUGGGCUGGGGAACUUUUAAGCAGGACUGGGGGGGAUUUUAGGCAGGAUUUGGGACUUUUUAGAACUGGUGAAAGUUUAAGUCAGGACUGAGGGACUUCCGGGCAGGACUGGGGAACUUUUAGGCCUGGGGGAGCUUUUAGGGUGGACUGGGGAACUUUUAGAACUGGUAAAGCUUUUAGGCCGGACUGAGGGGCUUUUAGGCUGGACUGAGAGAGGUUUUAGGCGGGACUGAGAGAGGUUUUAGGUGGGACUUGGGGCAGUUUUUAGGCAGAUUUGGGACCUUUUAGAACCGUUGAAGCUUUAAGUCAGGACUGAGGGACGUUUAGGCCCGGCAGAGCGUUUAGGCCGCACUAAGCCCGGCUCAGCCUCCUGCUCCGCUGGCCAGGCCCAGGCAAGGACAUCUCCCUGCUCCGACUGGUUCGGGCUGGGCUCGGCUUUUCCCGGGAAAUCCGGGAUGGAGCCGCCAUUCCCGAUCCGCUCGAGGGGCUCCCGCUUCCCCAUGGAAGUCCUGGAAUGUUUUCCCUCUUUUCCCACCCCUCGUUGCCUUCAUUAAACCGGGUUUAAGCUGCA